rnacentral:piRNA from 1 species
GGGGUGAAAACAGGCCCAGCUCUGUGG